rnacentral:rRNA from 1 species
UACAGAGGGUGCGAGCGUUAAUCGGAAUUACUGGGCGUAAAGCGCGCGUAGGCGGCUUUGCAAGUCGGGUGUGAAAUCCCCGGGCUCAACCUGGGAACUGCAUCCGAGACUGCAUUGCUAGAGUAUGGGAGAGGGAAGCGGAAUUUCUGGUGUAGCAGUGAAAUGCGUAGAUAUCGGGAGGAACACCAAUGGCGAAGGCAGCUCGCUGGGACGGUACUGACGCUGAGACGCGAAAGCGUGGGGAGCGAACAGG